UGACGGUACCCUUUCGAAUAAGAGGUUGCUAACUCUGUGCCAGCAGCAGCGGUAAUACAGAGACCUCGAGCGUUAUCCGGAUUUACUGGGCGUAAAGCGUCUGUAGGGGGUUUGUUAAGUUCCAAGUAAAAUCUUAAGGCUCAACUUUAAGUUCGCUUGGAAAACUAAUAAACUGGAGUCCAGCAGAGGUGCAUGGAACUUGCGGUGUAGGAGUGAAAUCCGUUGAUAUCGCAAGGAACACCAAAGGCGAAGGCAUUGCACUGGGCUGGUACUGACCCUGAGAGACGAAAGCGUGGGGAGCAAAACGGAUUAGAUACCCGUGUAGUCCACGCCCUAAACGAUGGAUACUAGAUGUUCGGGGAUUCGACCCCCUGGGUGUCACAGCUAACGCGUUAAGUAUCCCGCCUGGGAAGUACGGGCCGCAAGGCUAAAACUCAAAGGAAUAGACGGGGAUCCGCACAAGCGGUGGAGCGUCUGGUUUAAUUUGAUAGUAAGCAAUGGACCUCACCAAGGUUUGACAUCCUAUGACAACCCUGGAAACAGGGCUUCCUUCGGGCAUAGUGACAGGUGCUGCAUGGUCGUCGUCAGUUCGUGCCGUGAGGUGUUCCGUUAAGUCGGGAAACGAACGAAACCCUCGUCGCAUGUUACAAAUUUCAUGCGAGACUGCCCGGGUCAACCGGGAGGAAGGCGGGGAUGACGUCAGAUCAGCAUGGCCCUUAUACCUUGGGCUACACAGGCGCUACAAUGGCCGGUACAAAGGGUUGCAAAACCGCGAGGUGAAGCUAAUCCCAUAAAGCCGGUCCAAGUUCGGAUUGGAGGCUGCAACUCGCCUCCAUGAAGUUGGAGUCGCUAGUAAUCGUCGCUCAGCCAUACCACGGUGAAUACGUUCCCGGAUCUUGUACUCACCGCCCGUCACACCAAGAGAGUUGUAGCUCCUGAAGC
rnacentral:rRNA from 1 species